rnacentral:rRNA from 1 species
CAGGACGAACGCUGGCGGCGUGCUUAACACAUGCAAGUCGAGCGGUAAGGCCCUUUCGGGGUACACGAGCGGCGAACGGGUGAGUAACACGUGGGUGACCUGCCCUCAGCUCUGGGAUAAGCCUGGGAAACCGGGUCUAAUACUGGAUAUGACUCCAUGACGCAUGUUGUGGGGUGGAAAGCCUUGUGCGGCUGAGGAUGGGCCCGCGGCCUAUCAGCUUGUUGGUGGGGUGAGGCCUACCAAGGCGACGACGGGUAGCCGGCCUGAGAGGGCGACCGGCCACACUGGGACUGAGACACGGCCCAGACUCCUACGGGAGGCAGCAGUGGGGAAUCUUGCGCAAUGGGCGAAAGCCUGACGCAGCGACGCCGCGUGAGGGAUGACGGCC